ensembl:snoRNA
GAUCUCUUUGAGUUCAAGGCUGGCCUGGCCUACAUAGCAGGUUCCAGGCCAGCUGGGGCUACAGGGAGAUCCUAUCUCAAAACAAAAAUAACUGGCCUUGACUUCAUGUCUGCUGUCAUGGCAGUUCCUGGCAGCACCCUGCAGGGAGGCCCAGAGGGGGUGGCCAAAGUGUGGCUAGGCUUGAGCUAUGUGAACAAAACCUUGCAUCUGAGC